GCCUGCAAGAUGUCCGUGCGCCGCGGCCGGCGGCCGGCGCGGCCGGGGACCCGCCUCUCCUGGCUGCUGUGCUGCAGUGCCCUGCUGUCCCCGGCCGCGGGCUACGUGAUCGUGAGCUCCGUGUCUUGGGCCGUCACCAACGAGGUGGACGAGGAGCUGGACAGCGCCUCCACUGAGGAGGCUAUGCCCGCGCUGCUGGAGGAUUCGGGCAGCAUCUGGCAGCAAAGCUUCCCCGCCUCUGCCCACAAGGAGGACGCGCACCUGCGGCCCCGGGCGGGCGCCGCCCGGGCCAGGCCGCCCCCCGCGCCACCCGGGAUGUUCUCCUACCGGCGCGAGGGGGGCCAGGCGGCCGGUGCGCCCCCGGGCCCUAGACUGCGCGCCGCCACCGCCCGCUCCCUGGCCCAUGCCAGCGUCUGGGGCUGCCUGGCCACCGUGUCCGCCCACGAGAAGAUCCAAGGACUGCCAUUUGGGAACUGCCUGCCCGUCAGUGAUGGCCCCUUCAACAAUAGCACUGGGAUUCCUUUCUUCUACAUGACAGCCAAGGACCCCGUGGUGGCUGAUCUGAUGAAGAACCCCAUGGCCUCGCUGAUGCUGCCAGAAUCAGAAGGGGAGUUCUGCAGAGAUAUGUGCAAUAAGGAGCCAGCAUUUUUUAAUUCACUUUUUCAAAAGCUCUCUGAAAGAAAACACUUUUAAAGACAUUUAAGCACUAACAGAAUUUUGAUGCAGGCCCCUUUAUCUGAAUUCAAAAUGCAAAGCCUGAACUCGCAUCCUCCCC
rnacentral:sRNA from 1 species